GCUGUUGGCGGUUUUCUGUCGGGAAAUGUGUGUGUGUUUUCAGUGGCGGUCAGUGAUCUCGAUUAAGUUAACUUAAAUUAUUAAUGAAUAUCAAAAAAUCAAUAAAGGGCAACACGGGAAACGACCCUGAAUGUGGACUAAGUGUUAAAAGUACGUCCAUUGAGCUGGAAUUGCUAGUCAGCCACAAUUGGAUAUCAAUGCAUAUGUGCAUUUACAUACACAUACGUGACCGCCGGUAACAAUCUGUGUAUAGGUGUGUGCCGUGACGGAUCCUUGCUCCCAGGAUAUCAUCUGAUACCAUGGAGCCUCCCUUGGACCCUGCAAUAACUAUAGCUCAGAUGCUCUCCAAGACCCGAAUUUGGACACCAGGAA